ensembl:lncRNA
UUGGGAUGCGGGCUCUGCAGACGCCCCGGCGAACAGCUCUACCUGGGGGCUGUCCCUGCCCCACUUAGUCCAAGGGCCUUGGUGUGGGGACCUCCGCUGUCAAGGCGGGGGCACCGGUUCUCUCGGUUUCUCUCUCCUUCCCCAGCGGCUUCAUCGCAGACGUGAGCCCGAGCCGGGCCCGCCCCGCCCCCUGCUCUCCGGCUCUCACGCCGCCCCCCGAGAAAGGCUGCCCACCUGCCCUGGGACCCCUACAGUGCCCCCACGAGAGUGGCCCCUGGAGAAUGCGCUCCGAGACAGUGACUAUCCGUGCGGAGUCCCCGAGCAGGGGCCCCCAAAGCUCUCCGGAGUGGUCACAAGCCCCACUCCCGCCCCGACUCCAGUGUGUCAGGGAUGGGGGAGAGCCUAACUAAAUCUGCCUGCGCCCCUCCACCAAAGCCACGAGUCGGUGGUCUUCUCCGGAAGUGCAUGGCCCCUCCAGACUCCCACACUGACCACACCUCCUCCUGCCUCCUAAGGUGACCCGGACCAGGGGCCAGGAGACCGCCGCUGGCCGAGGCUGAGGAACCGAAGAAGCAGGGUCCAACCAGGGCCCCGGAGGGCUCCUUCGCCACUUUCUCAAGCGUUCCUCGACGAGGAAAAAGUGUAAACUGAGUCACUAAGCACACUGGGCCCCGGAGGCGGGGUAAUCAAGCUGCCCAGACUGGACCAACAAACCCCAAGGAGGACACUGCCCCGGCGCCCCUUCCCCCUGGACCCCGCAGUGCACUCACGUCGGCUGGGCGGGCCUCAGGGAGCCCAAGGGCCGGGUGGGCGGAGCCCGCAGGUUAGGCCCCUACCAUCGCCCUGGGCCGGGCUUCCAGGGGCGAAGCCAGAGAGGCUGCGCGGAACCGGAGCCGGCAACGCGAGCGAAGAGGGACAGAGACGCUCAAGAGUAUUGUCACCGAUACCCAAAGCAGCUGUGUCUGGGCGGGGCGAGGAGGAGCCUGAAUGCCUCUGCUGGGGACCUUGGGGGGCACGGGGAAGACGAGGCCCGGAGCCGAAGGUCGGGGCCCGGAGCCGGGAAGGCUGCUUCUGGUCGCUGGCUUAGCUCAAGGAGGGUGGGGCCGCCCCUGCCCCGCCUUCCCACUUCUCCCCUCCCCUGGGGAUUUGCUGUCCCGGAGUCCCUGCGUCCCUCCCGCGCGCGGCUCUGGGAAUGCUGGGCUGAGGCUAGUUGUCUGGUCCGGGCGUUCCCGUUCGCGGGGAGGUCAUUUGCACCCUGAAUCACCCACUGCUACCGGACUGCAGACCCGCCUGCUCCGGGCCCACCUCCCACACCAGGGCCUUUCCCCGCACAGCUCGGCCGGGCCUGGAAAAACUCCGAGAGGGAUUCCCAGCGCAGGAACGCCCACCGGGCGCAGUGUCUCGGGCUGGAUAAGAAGGGGACCCGGCCACGGCUCCUUCCCCGACAUGGGGGAACAGAGAGAAGGGAAGGGAUUGGGGGCGGGGGUGCCAGGAGGAUCCCUGGAGCGCGAGAGAGCACCCGUAGCCAGCAGGUCUCCUGCGUCCACCGCCUACGUGACGCAAGAUAUAGCGGCGUCAACGCCUGAGUCGGCGCUGGGGGCCUCGGCCUGCUCCCCUCCCAUCCCCCAGUGGAGGGUAGCCCUUCGCCUACCUUCUCCUUCCGGUGGGAUGCGGCCCGUGCAGCUCCCGCGCCAGUGCGGAGUCAAGGGGAGCAGGCGCGCAGAGCUCCCAGGCGCGCAUGGGCUCGGCAUCCCGCGCUCCCUCCUCCACCGCGCGGCUCCCGCGCUGCCAGGUUUCCUGUAUAACGGUAUAACCAGGGAGGCACCGGCGGAGAGCGCCCGACAGAACUUCCUCCCGGACUGGGGCUGGGCUGCGGUUGCGAGAAACAAUCCCCGGCGUCCUGGCUUUCUGUCCCCUCUGGGCCGGGCCAGUGCAUGA